CCACAUUGGUGCCCCGUGACUCGGAUCUAGAAACUCUGCGGGUUUGCCUCCCAUCUCAGCCACAACAAGAGGUCCACGCUCACUAGCCCAGAUUUGAUGCAGACGCUUCUUAUUGGACCAGUUCCUUCCGACCUAUCCUCAGAUGGCUCCACAGACCCUGGACAGCAAGGAAGCAGCCAACUCUCCUAAAAUUGGACAAACAUCUCCCAUACCCAUCCCUCUGGGUUCCCCAGAGACACGUCACCCCAGUGUCAGCAUGAAGCAGCCAGGUAUCACAACGACCCUAUUCCUGCUUCAUUAUCAUCUCUUUCUAAUUUUUUUCUUUUUUAACUAAACCAAAAUGGGGGAAUGUUGGUAUUCUGUCUAAAAUCCACCCCCACAGUUGCCUGGCAACAGCCAGGUAUGCUCCUCCCCAUAGUUACCUGGCAACAGUCAGGUAGGCAUGGCCCACUAUAAAGGGAGCUGCUUGCCCCCUCCUCCCUCUCUUACUCCUGCUUCUCUCCCUUGCCUCUUGCCCCUUUGCUCCCAUUUCCCUCCCCCCUCUCUCCAUGUGGUCAUGGCUGUCCUCUAUUUCUCCACUCUCUCCCUCUCUCUCUUUGCCUUUCUCUGCCUCUACCACCCUCAACUCCCCUCCACAUUCCCUGAAUAAAGUCUGU
rnacentral:lncRNA from 1 species